rnacentral:sRNA from 1 species
ACUGAAGUAUAUAUUAGCAGAUGAAUUCACCACAGGGCAUCCUGUACAAAUUUUCCAAAUUCUGCAGGAUGUACAGAUAUAUAGCUGUCGAGAAUUAAAACAUAUAUUCCCAGCCAACAUUGUUGGAGGCUUAACUCAAUUGAAAGUUGUUGAGAUAGAAGAAUGUGACAAGCUAGAUCAAAUAAUUGGAGAUAUUGUUCCAUCAACAGACCGUGAUAAACUAAUAGAGAAAGGAACUCUAUCCAGCCU